CGCGUGUAGAGGAAAGUGGUGGAAAAAUCCAAACCCUUAGAAAAUAACCGUUCCCUGUUCUGGUUCCCGUUUUUCUUUCUGCUUUCUCCAACCUUAAAAUCAAUCGAAGACAGGAAGUUGUUUCAUUUGGGAAAAAGUAGAGAGAAAUUAAAGCCUAAACAUGAGAAUUCCAAUUCUCUCUCUCUUUCCCGCCCUUUUUCUGACUUUCUUUCUCACUGCACACUCACCCCCUUCUUCAAUAUACGACCACUUGAAACACAACGGCCUCCCUAUAGGUCUCCUCCCUAAGGGGAUUUCUGAUUUCUCAAUUGACCCCAACACCAACCGUUUCCACGUCAACCUAACCCAACCCUGCAACUCCGAAUUCGAGAUCCAGCUCCAUUACGAUUUCAACAUCUCCGGUGUCUUGUCUUUCGGCAAGAUCGCUAAUUUGUCUGGUGUCUCCCAACAGGAACUCUUCUUAUGGUUUCCUGUCAUUAACAUUCGCGUCGAUGAUCCAACCUCCGGUUUGAUCAACUUCGAUGUCGGCGUUGUUGAUAAGCAGUUCUCCUUGUCCUUGUUCGAGAUCCCCCGUGAUUGCACCGCUUUUGAUCCUAAGGGUUCCCUCUUCAUUUCUCAGAGCUCGUAGCGUAGGAAGGGGAUGCAGAUUCUGGGAUUUGAAUCCCAAACCCAUUGAAUACAAAAAACCAUCUGAGUUACUUGGUACUGAAAUUGUUGAGGAGCACAUGCUGAGGGCCAUAUCAUAGACUCUGGAGGCAGAGAUAUUAUAUUAAAGUUUCAAGGUUGUUGAUACACGUCUAAUAUUUCUGCUGUAGCAAGAAUAACAAUUUUGGGUCAAGCCAAAUGGUAAAGUUGAACAACUUUAAGUCUUGUUAUCAUGAGUUAAGGCUGAACCUGGGGCUUUUGUUCGGGUUUGGUUUCACUUGGUUAAUAUUCUAGAAAUUGGUGCUAUUUAUUGUUGUCACGAAAUCGCUGGACAUACAAAUGUACUAGCAUGGUGUUCUGUAAAUUUAGAGAACUCUUUGUUCUCAUCUUGUUCUUAUAACUUUGGUUAAAUAUUGAUUUUUAAGAUAAAACAUAAUUACAUAAGAAA